rnacentral:rRNA from 1 species
CAGUAGCCACGGUAAUACAGAGGGUGCGAGCGUUAAUCGGAUUUACUGGGCGUAAAGCGUGCGUAGGCGGCUUUUUAAGUCGGAUGUGAAAUCCCCGAGCUUAACUUGGGAAUUGCGCUCGAUACUGGGAAGCUAGAGUAUGAGAGAGGAUGGUAGAAUUCCAGGUGUAGCGGUGAAAUGCGUAGAGAUCUGGAGGAAUACCGAUGGCGAAGGCAGCCAUCUGGCCUAAUACUGACGCUGAGGUACGAAAGCAUGGGGAGCAAACAGGAUUAGAUACCCGCGUAGUCCCUGUCUCUUAUAC